rnacentral:rRNA from 1 species
UACGAAGGGGGCUAGCGUUGUUCGGAAUUACUGGGCGUAAAGCGCGCGCAGGCGGCUAUCCAAGUCAGUGGUGAAAGCCCGGAGCUUAACUCCGGAACUGCCAUUGAAACUGUUUAGCUUGAGGACGAGAGAGGUGAGUGGAAUUCCCAGUGUAGAGGUGAAAUUCGUAGAUAUUGGGAAGAACACCGGUGGCGAAGGCGGCUCACUGGCUCGUUUCUGACGCUCAGGCGCGACAGCGUGGGGAUCGAAACAGG